rnacentral:misc_RNA from 1 species
GGAAGUAAAGUCGUAACAAGGUUUCCGUAGGUGAACCUGCGGAAGGAUCAUUCAUAAUAAGUGUUUUAUGGCACUUUUUUAAAUCCAUAUCCACCUUGUGUGCAAUGUCAGGGUUGAUUUUUCUCUCGAGAGGAUCAACCCCAAACAUCAACUAUAUCUCAACUCUUUGUCUGAAAAAUAUUAUGAAUAAAACAAUUCAAAAUACAACUUUCAACAACGGAUCUCUUGGCUCUC